GUGGUGGCGAGUGGCGACCGGGUGAGUAAUAUAUCGGCACGUAUCCAAUAAUGGGGGAUACCUAGUCGAAAGAUUAGCUAAUCCGCAUACGCCCUGAGGGGGAAAGCUGGGGAUCUUCGGACCUAGCGUUAAUGGACCGGCCGAUAUCUGAUUAGCUAGUCGGUGAGGUAAAAGCUCACCUAGGCGACGAUCAGUAGCUGGUCUGAGAGGCCGCCCAGCCCCUGGAACUGAGACCCGGUCCAGACUCCUACGGGGGGCAGCAGUGGGGAAUUUUGGACAAUGGGCGCAAGCCUGAUCCAGCCAUUCCGCGUGAGUGAAGAAGGCCUUCGGGUUGUAAAGCUCUUUCGCGAGGGAAGAAAACUUAACCUCUAACAUAGGUUGAGGCUGACGGU
rnacentral:rRNA from 1 species